rnacentral:rRNA from 1 species
UAAUUUUAAAUAGCUGCGGUAAUUUAACCGUACAAAGGUAGCAAAAUCAAUAGUUUUUUAAUUGGAAGCUGGAAUGAAUGAUUUGAUGAAAUAAAUAUUGUCUCAAAAUUAAUAAAAUUUGAAUUUUUUUUUUAGUAAAAAUACUAAAUUAUAUUUAAAAGACGAUAAGACCCUAUAGAUUUUUAUAAUUAUAUUUUAUAAAAAAAUUAUUUAAUAUAAUUAUUUGGUUGGGGAAAUUAUUAAAUAUAAAAAAUUUUAAUUUUAAAAAACAAUAAUUAUUGAUUAAUUGAUCUUAAUUUUUAGAAAAAUAGAAUAAAAUACCUUAGGGAUAACAGCGUAAUUUUUUUARAGAGACCAUAUUAAUAAAAAAGUUUGCGACCUCGAUGUUGAAUUAARAUAAAA